AAGAAAGAAAAGGAAAUAGAAGAGAGGAAAAAGGAAAGAAAGAAAAAGAGAAAGAACGAGUUGAAAGAACUCGAUGUAAUUGUGAAAUUGCAAUUGCAUUGAAAGUCGAAAUUGUAUUGAAGAAGGAUAGAAGCCCUGACAUGAAAUUGACCGCGUACAAACCUAAUUGGGGGUAAAAGAAACGCGCUGGCGAAGUCGGUUCGGCAAUCCGUCGCUCCUACGCGAAGAUAUCGCUAAAAGAAUAUUUUCGGCAUCGAUAGUCGCGAGCGCGGGUCGCGGUUCUCGAAAAAAUGCGAGGAGUGGAUUUCUCUCAUUCCGGUGCCAAAGAAAGGUUACACGUGAGCGGCGCAACGGCGCGAGGACAGGGCGUAGCUCCGUAGAUAGCGCCCUACCACCGAGACCAGAGAUAGAAGUACCCCGAAGAGGUCCAGCUCAGAGUUCCAAUUGGAAGGAAACAAAUUUGUAGUAAUUUGUAUAAGUUUUGUAAUAACUUAAAAGCACAUUUGGUUAUGUAAAUGUAAACUAUUGUAAAUGUCUAAAGAAUCUGUGAGUUGAAUGCUUGUAAUAGCAUAGUUAGCAUUUUAUGUUUUUGAUA